rnacentral:rRNA from 1 species
UACGGAGGGUGCAAGCGUUAAUCGGAAUUACUGGGCGUAAAGCGCACGCAGGCGGUUUGUUAAGCUAGAUGUGAAAGCCCCGGGCUCAACCUGGGAUGGUCAUUUAGAACUGGCAGACUAGAGUCUUGGAGAGGGGAGUGGAAUUCCAGGUGUAGCGGUGAAAUGCGUAGAUAUCUGGAGGAACAUCAGUGGCGAAGGCGACUCCCUGGCCAAAGACUGACGCUCAUGUGCGAAAGUGUGGGUAGCGAACGGG